rnacentral:tRNA from 1 species
GACAUGGUGGUUUCAGCAUCAGACUGAAACUCUGGAGACCAAGGUUCAAUUCCUUGUUUGGUCA